GUGGGGAAUAUUGCACAAUGGGGGAAACCCUGAUGCAGCGACGCCGCGUGGAGGAAGAAGGUCUUCGGAUUGUAAACUCCUGUUGUUGGGGAAGAUAAUGACGGUACCCAACAAGGAAGUGACGGCUAACUACGUGCCAGCAGCCGCGGUAAAACGUAGGUCACAAGCGUUGUCCGGAAUUACUGGGUGUAAAGGGAGCGCAGGCGGGAAGACAAGUUGGAAGUGAAAUCUAUGGGCUCAACCCAUAAACUGCUUUCAAAACUGUUUUUCUUGAGUAGUGCAGAGGUAGGCGGAAUUCCCGGUGUAGCGGUGGAAUGCGUAGAUAUCGGGAGGAACACCAGUGGCGAAGGCGGCCUACUGGGCACCAACUGACGCUGAGGCUCGAAAGUGUGGGUAGCAAACAGGAUUAGAAACCCUGGUAGUCC
rnacentral:rRNA from 1 species